rnacentral:lncRNA from 1 species
GUGGUAACUUAGUAUUAUUCGAUAUCUAUGAUUAAAGCCAUACGUUAUGAUGUUUUGGUAAGUUACACACAAAGACCUUCUUGAGACUUCUAAUUACAUGAUGGAAUGAAUGAUUGCCUAUAGAAAUGUGAACCUUCGCAGGAAUUCAGGCUUACAAGGCUAGGUCAAAGGUUAUUAUCAACAGGGUCCACAAGUCUCCAUCCAUCAUUCUUGACUUAAAACCAUAUGUGUGUAAAUUACAGUAUGUGUAUAAAUUACAUUAUGAUAGUAAUCUAUCUGGGUAGGCCUCUCGAUGUCUGGAUAUGCUUAGAAUAAUAACUUACAAUAUUUCUACAUUCCUACAACACGUUGAAUACAUUUAAAGUU